UUAAAAGCUUUACUUACAAUGCAUUACAUGCGCUACAUAUUAUGGAUCAACUUAAUAAUAACAUGCAACGUGCAUGGGGUGGAUGAAUUUGGAGCAGAUUCUAGAUACUUCAGACACUAUAGCAGAUAUUACAUUCUAUCCAAAGUCUGGGAUCUUGGAGGGCAUCCGGUAUAUCUUAAUGCGUUUCGGGUCGAUCAAACAAAAGAGUUUUAUUGGUUUCACGAUGGAGAAAAAUUAAAUUACUCCAAUUUUAAACCACACAGGCCAAACUAUAGCUUAAAGGGAAAUAUGUGUUUAUUCCAAAAUGAAAAUGGACUUUUUCCAUGGGCUGAUUUGUCUUGCACCCUUGGUCACUAUUUCGUGUGCAUGCAUCCAUUGUAUAUGAAUGACGAUGAAAACUAAUUUUAAUAAAUAAUUUAUUGAAAUGCAAUUUGAAACCAUAGAAUUUGUUGUUAUAUAAUUAAGGCAAAUGUUGUAAAUAAUUGUAGUACGCAAAAUACACAUUUAGUCCCAGUUA